UACGUAGGGUGCGAGCGUUAAUCGGAAUUACUGGGCGUAAAGCGUGCGCAGGCGGUUUUGUAAGCCAGAUGUGAAAUCCCCGGGCUUAACCUGGGAAUGGCAUUUGGGACUGCAAGGCUGGAGUGCGGCAGAGGAGACUGGAAUUCCUGGUGUAGCAGUGAAAUGCGUAGAUAUCAGGAAGAACACCCGUGGCUAAGGCGGCUCUCUAGUACGGUACUGACGCUGAGACGCGAAAGCGUGGGGAGCGAACAGG
rnacentral:rRNA from 1 species